AUGGCCUUACUGGGCCAGUCUUCCAUUACAGCGAGGUCCAGUCCCGUGUGGGCUGUACCUCAGGAGAGGCGGCAGUGGCAUGACACCGUCAUAUUCAUCGGCGUCCUGGUUGAAGGUUUACAUAAUAGGCCACUGUAUGUGGCUACAUUGCAUAAUAGCAUCACCGAGAUCAAUCUUUUCCCUUGCUGUUUGCUUCUCAAGGAGGUGGCAAAGUCUAAAGGAAGGGUCGCACUCACAACAAAUAUGGUCAUAGGUGGCACUGUUACAGAUGAUUCAAGUGAUGAAUGGCUUGUUCUGGAUCAGAAGGUGAAUACAUAUCCCACAGACAGAGGAUUUACAGCAAUUGGUACUGGAGGUGAAGAUUUUGUCCAUUCUAUGGUUGAUGCUGUUGAAUCGGUUCUUCAAGAAUCGAUUCCAAAGGGCCAAGUAAGUCAGAAAAUAUCUUCUAGGGGAAAAUAUGUUUCUGUAAAAAUUGGGCCAAUACGCGUGGCUUCAAGUGAGCAGGUCCAGGCUGUAUAUCGCGCCAUGAGAAGAGAUAACAGGAUGAAAUACUUCUUAUGAACUGCAAUUACUCAUUCCUUUCAUUGGUUCCAUGCGACACAAAGAUACCCCCUGCAGGCUGGAGCAUCUAUGAACUUUCUGUGAACUGAUGAGAGGAAGGACAUUUUUGUGUUACUUCGGCCCAAAUAGAAAUUGCUCCAUUAUUGAGACAGGCGCUACAAUGUAACAGCAGGGUUUUCAUAACACUAUAGCGAACAUGUUUACAUACUACAUAUGUUUAAAGAUGCUUGUAGUUUGUGAUUUUUUGAAACAUCUCUGAAAUCUGUAUACAUUUCAGUUUAAUGCUCCAAAUUCCCAAUGCAAAUCUCGAGUCCU
rnacentral:rRNA from 1 species